rnacentral:rRNA from 1 species
AUUGAACGCUGGCGGCAGGCCUAACACAUGCCAGUCGAACGGUAACAGGAAGAAGCUUGCUUCUUUGCUGACGAGUGGCGGACGGGUGAGUAAUGUCUGGGAAACUGCCUGAUGGAGGGGGAUAACUACUGGAAACGGUAGCUAAUACCGCAUAACGUCGCAAGACCAAAGAGGGGGACCUUCGGGCCUCUUGCCAUCGGAUGUGCCCAGAUGGGAUUAGCUAGUAGGUGGGGUAACGGCUCACCUAGGCGACGAUCCCUAGCUGGUCUGAGAGGAUGACCAGCCACACUGGAACUGGGACACGGUCCAGACUCCUACGGGAGGCAGCAGUGGGGAAUAUUGCACAAUGGGCGCAAGCCUGAUGCAGCCAUGCCGCGUGUAUGAAGAAGGCCUUCGGGUUGUAAAGUACUUUCAGCGGGGAGGAAGGGAGUAAAGUUAAUACCUUUGCUCAUUGACGUUACCCGCAGAAGAAGCACCGGCUAACUCCGUG